rnacentral:rRNA from 1 species
CGGGGGUUGUACUCGCUAUUGCAUCUUUGAUGUGUCAUCAAAGAUAAUGUAAAGGAAAAUAAUGAUAUUACUUUACUAUUAGUGUCGUCCAAGUACUCGUGCCAGAAGACUCGGUAAGGCGAGAGACGCAAACGUUAUUCGUCUUGAUCAGGCGUAAAGGGUGUGUAGGCUGUUUUAAGUAUUUAUAUUAAGUUUACUAUAAUAAAUAUAUAUUGAACUAGUUUUACUAUUAAAAACAGUUUAACGAAUUCAACUUUCUAUAUUUAUUAAAAAGGUAUAAAUCAAUUAAAGCUAGAAUCUAAAGGAGGUUAAAACAAUACUUAAGGUAGGAGUACUAACCGUAAAUAUUAAGUAGAGUGCUAACGGCGAAGGCAUUUAUCCAAUAAAGAUUGACGCUGAGAAACGAAAGUGAGGGCAGAAAAAAGGAUUAGAGACCCUUGUAUUCCUCACUGUCAACGAUGAAUGGUAGUUACUAGUAAGAAAUUAACUAGAGACGAUGUUAACACGAAAACCAUUCCGCCUUGUGAGUACAACUGCAAAGUUGAAAACAAAAAAAUUAGUCGGUUUCGGAGCAAACGAAGUGAAGCAUGUUAUUUAC